UAUGUAAAAUAUUAAAUAUAAAAUAAUAGAAGUUCUCUUGUUUUUUACCCUUUAACAUCAUAUUUUAAACACAGUAAAUCAGUCCUAAUAAGAGCCAUCAGGUUGAAAUUCACAGGAUCUGUCCCUCAACUUGUCUGUAAUGUGUGUACCAAAUUUGAGGUUGAUUGACAGAAGUGUGUGUGAGAUAUUUUAGAAAGUGCAGUACAGAGCAUCUCCAGCAGAGGACUCCAGAGCUCUGUAAAACUUUUUCAAAGUUAGCAAAUGAUGAAAAUAAAUCUCUUUAUGAUUCUGAAAAAAUGUCCCUAAGUGUUAAAUGUGACUAUAAAAAGAUGUUUUUAAUAUUUAAAUAAAGAUUUACAUAUUUAUUAUCA